GUUGUAGCUCAGUGGUAGAGCGCUUGCCUAGCAUGUAUGAUACACUGAGUUCAAUCCUCAGCACCACA
rnacentral:tRNA from 1 species